UACGGGGGGAGCAAGCGUUGUUCGGAUUUACUGGGCGUAAAGAGCGCGCAGGCGGUCGUUCAAGUCGCGUGUGAAAGCCCCCGGCUCAACUGGGGAGGGUCACGCGAUACUGAUCGACUCGAAGGCAGGAGAGGGUAGUGGAAUUCCCGGUGUAGUGGUGAAAUGCGUAGAUAUCUGGAGGAACACCGGUGGCGAAGGCGGCAUCCUGGACCAAUACUGACGCUGAGGAGCGAAAGCCAGGGGAGCAAACGGG
rnacentral:rRNA from 1 species